rnacentral:rRNA from 1 species
GAUGAACGCUGGCGGCGUGCCUAAUACAUGCAAGUCGAGCGAACGGACGAGAAGCUUGCUUCUCUGAUGUUAGCGGCGGACGGGUGAGUAACACGUGGAUAACCUACCUAUAAGACUGGGAUAACUUCGGGAAACCGGAGCUAAUACCGGAUAAUAUUUUGAACCGCAUGGUUCAAAAGUGAAAGACGGUCUUGCUGUCACUUAUAGAUGGAUCCGCGCUGCAUUAGCUAGUUGGUAAGGUAACGGCUUACCAAGGCAACGAUGCAUAGCCGACGUGAGAGGGUGAUCGGCCACACGGGAGCUGAGACACGGUCAAGACUCCUACGGGAGGCAGCAGUAGGGAAUCUUCCGCAAUGGGCGAAAGCCUGACGGAGCAACGCCGCGUGAGUGAUGAAGGUCUUCGGAUCGUAAAACUCUGUUAUUAGGGAAGAACAUAUGUGUAAGUAACUGUGCACAGCUUGACGGUACCUAAUCAGAAAGCCACGGCUAACUACGUG